UCGGGAAUUUUGGGCAAUGGGCGAAAGCCUGACCCAGCAACGCCGCGUGAAGGAUGAAGUAUUUCGGUAUGUAAACUUCGAAAGAAUAGGAAGAAUAAAUGACGGUACUAUUUAUAAGGUCCGGCUAACUACGUGCCAGCAGCCGUGGUAAUACGUAGGGACCAAGCGUUGUUCGGAUUUACUGGGCGUAAAGGGCGCGUAGGCGGCAAUUCAAGUCAUCUGUGAAAUCUCCGGGCUUAACUCGGAACGGUCAGAUGAUACUGCUUUGCUAGAGUGCAGAAGGGGCAAUCGGAAUUCUUGGUGUAGCGGUGAAAUGCGUAGAUAUCAAGAGGAACACCUGAGGUGAAGACGGGUUGCUGGGCUGACACUGACGCUGAGGCGCGAAAGCCAGGGGAGCAAACGGGAUUAGAUACCCCAGUAGUCCCUGAGCGGGCUGGCAAGGCGCAU
rnacentral:rRNA from 1 species